AAUAGAUACCCGGUAGUCCACGCGUAAACGAUGAGUGCUAAGUGUUAGAGGGUUUCCGCCCUUUAGUGCUGCAGCUAACGCAUUAAGCACUCCGCCUGGGGAGUACGGCCGCAAGGCUGAAACUCAAAGGAAUUGACGGGGGCCCGCACAAGCGGUGGAGCAUGUGGUUUAAUUCGAAGCAACGCGAAGAACCUUACCAGGUCUUGACAUCCUCUGCCAACCCUAGAGAUAGGGCGUUCCCCUUCGGGGGACAGAGUGACAGGUGGUGCAUGGUUGUCGUCAGCUCGUGUCGUGAGAUGUUGGGUUAAGUCCCGCAACGAGCGCAACCCUUGAUCUUAGUUGCCAGCAUUCAGUUGGGCACUCUAAGGUGACUGCCGGUGACAAACCGGAGGAAGGUGGGGAUGACGUCAAAUCAUCAUGCCCCUUAUGACCUGGGCUACACACGUGCUACAAUGGAUGGUACAAAGAGCUGCGAACCCGCGAGGGUAAGCGAAUCUCAUAAAGCCAUUCUCAGUUCGGAUUGUAGG
rnacentral:rRNA from 1 species